rnacentral:rRNA from 1 species
AUUGAACGCUGGCGGCAUGCCUUACACAUGCAAGUCGAACGCGAACGGGCUUCGGCCCAAGUAGAGUGGCGGACGGGUGAGUAAUGCGUGGGAAUCUACCCUCGAGCGGGGGACAACCCGGGGAAACCCGGGCUAAUACCGCAUACGUCCUACGGGAGAAAGCGGGCCUCUACACUAUGCUCGCACUCGAGGAUGAGCCCACGUCCGAUUAGCUAGUUGGUAGGGUAACGGCCUACCAAGGCCACGAUCGGUAGCUGGUCUGAGAGGAUGAUCAGCCACACUGGGACUGAGACACGGCCCAGACUCCUACGGGAGGCAGCAGUGGGGAAUAUUGGACAAUGGGCGCAAGCCUGAUCCAGCAAUGCCGCGUGUGUGAAGAAGGCCUGCGGGUUGUAAAGCACUUUCGGCCGGGAAGAAAUCGCAUGGGUUAAUACCCUGUGUGGAUGACGGUACCGGAAUAAGAAGCACCGGCUAACUACGUGCCAGCAGCCGCGGU